GUUUACUUGAUCGUGAUUAUCCUACUCGGAUAACUGUGGAAAUUCUAGAGCUAAUACACGCAAUAAAGCUCCGACCUUACGGGACGAGCGCAUUUAUUAGACCAAAACCAAUCGGGCUUCGGCCUGAGCGGUGGUGACUCUGAAUAACUGAGCUGAUCGCAUGGUCUUUGUACCGGCGACGCAUCUUUCAAGUGUCUGCCUUAUCAACUUUCGAUGGUAGUUUAUGUGCCUACCAUGGUUGUAACGGGUAACGGAGAAUAAGGGUUCGACUCCGGAGAGGGAGCCUGAGAAACGGCUACCACAUCCAAGGAAGGCAGCAGGCGCGCAAAU
rnacentral:rRNA from 1 species